rnacentral:rRNA from 1 species
CUACGUGCCAGCAGCCGCGGUAAUACGGAAGGUCCAGGCGUUAUCCGGAUUUAUUGGGUUUAAAGGGAGCGUAGGCUGGAGAUUAAGUGUGUUGUGAAAUGUAGACGCUCAACGUCUGAAUUGCAGCGCAUACUGGUUUCCUUGAGUACGCACAACGUUGGCGGAAUUCGUCGUGUAGCGGUGAAAUGCUUAGAUAUGACGAAGAACUCCGAUUGCGAAGGCAGCUGACGGGAGCGCAACUGACGCUUAAGCUCGAAGGUGCGGGUAUCGAACAGGAUUAGAUACCCUGGUAGUCCGCACAGUAAACGAUGGAUGCCCGUUGUUAGUUCACUUAAGAAUUAGCGACCAAGCGAAAGCAUUAAGCAUCCCACCUGGGGAGUACGCCGGCAACGGUGAAACUCAAAGGAAUUGACGGGGGCCCGCACAAGCGGAGGAACAUGUGGUUUAAUUCGAUGAUACGCGAGGAACCUUACCCGGGCU